UCGAGGAUCUUUGGCAAUGAGCGCAAGCUUGACCAAGCGACGCCGCGUGGAGGAUGAAGGCCUUCGGGUUGUAAACUCCUGUCGAGGGGGAUCAAGGGCAACUUGAGUGAUCCCUGGAGGAAGCACGGGCUAAGUUCGUGCCAGCAGCCGCGGUAAGACGAACCGUGCGAACGUUGUUCGGAAUCACUGGGCAUAAAGGGCGCGUAGGCGGCCUGUCAAGUCGGGGGUGAAAUCCGGCAGCUCAACUGUCGAAGUGCCUUCGAUACUGACGGGCUCGAGGGAGGUAGGGGUCGCUGGAACUUCCGGUGGAGCGGUGAAAUGCGUUGAUAUCGGAAGGAACGCCGGUGGCGAAAGCGAGCGACUGGACCUCUUCUGACGCUGAGGCGCGAAAGCCAGGGGAGCAAACGGGAUUAGAUACCCCCGUAGUCC
rnacentral:rRNA from 1 species